UUUGUUCGUUCGUUGGUGGCGACGAUGGAUGAAGAUGAAGCUGCUGCUGCCGCUGCUAACGAGCUAGCGAGCUAGCUUGGAGACCAGCGACGCUACGCGCAAGAGUCACUCUGAUUGGCCACGCGCUCAACCAAUCGGUGACACGGAAUAGCCUAACGGGCGAAGACUGACGAGAAAAGCUCCAAAGGGAACCCUCGUCACACAAAAUGGCGGCAGGACAGAAGACUCCGCCUCCUCUGUCGUCAACAAGAUGUCGGAAUGUUCCCGUGCACUCCGUUCUGAUUUAAAGACGAGCAAGCAGCUUUUGUGGUGAAAAGGGAAAUGAAGGCAGGAAGGCGAACCACCCUCGUCCCUCCGCUCCGGAACCGUCGGCGCUCGUGAUGGAAUCUUCCUGACCAUCGGACCAGUCAAU